GACGAACGCUGGCGGCGUGCCUAAUACAUGCAAGUAGAACGCUGAAGAGAGGAGCUUACUCUUCUUGGAUGAGUUGCGAACGGGUGAGUAACGCGUAGGUAACCUGCCUUGUAGCGGGGGAUAACUAUUGGAAACGAUAGCUAAUACCGCAUAACAAUGGAUGACACAUGUCAUUUAUUUGAAAGGGGCAAUUGCUCCACUACAAGAUGGACCUGCGUUGUAUUAGCUAGUAGGUGAGGUAAUGGCUCACCUAGGCGACGAUACAUAGCCGACCUGAGAGGGUGAUCGGCCACACUGGGACUGAGACACGGCCCAGACUCCUACGGGAGGCAGCAGUAGGGAAUCUUCGGCAAUAGGGGCAACCCUGACCGAGCAACGCCGCGUGAGUGAAGAAGGUUUUCGGAUCGUAAAGCUCUGUUGUAAGUCAAGAACGGGUGUGAGAGUGGAAAGUUCGCACUGUGACGGUAGCUUACCAGAAAGGGACGGCUAACUACGUG
rnacentral:rRNA from 1 species